GGUUGACCUCGGAUCAGGUAGGGAUACCCGCUGAACUUAAGCAUAUCAAAAG
rnacentral:rRNA from 1 species